GCUUUUCCCUUUGGGGAUGGCUCACAAAGCCUCAGAGCUUCUGAACGCACUCUGACGUGAGGGAGCAGCUUGAGUCCUCAAGUAUGUGUCCCGCCUGGAGACGAAGCCCAUUGAAGUCCCUGAGAGCAAACAGCUCUGAAAAGCAAAGCGAUCUGGAACACACACAGGACCUUGGCAGGCAGAGAUGUACCCUGUGGCUUGGUCUUUCUCUGCUCAGCUAGUGGUGAUGAAAACAGUAACAAAGACCCUGACUUUGCUAAAUGACCAAGACUCACUCAGAUAACAAGCCAGUACAGUUGCUGGCAGAGAGCCUUCUAGACGCUUGAUGCAGUGUGACCUACUGGAGUGAGAAGGAGAAUUGGAAGGGGAGGGCUCUCAGUUACAUUUUGGUCCAAUUAAAGGAUACUAUUAUCUCCUGAUGUGGACUGAUGAUCCUGUUUAUCAUUAACUAUCAUCUACUGAGAACUUUUAUGUGCCAGGUACUGAACUAGGUAUUGCAUGUUCAUUGUCUUACCAUAAUCCUGCAAUUUCGUUGUUGUUGUUCUUUUUUUUUUUUAACAAAGGAGAAAACUGAGUUUCAGAAAGGUUAACUCAUUUGUUCAAUAGUGUUACGCAGCUUAUAAACGGUACAGUCAGAAAUCCAAUCUUGGUAUGACUAUAAAAUAACUUAUACCCUUUCUGGGAGAAACACAUAGCUUACGCCCUGUAAAUUUGAUAUUUAAAGUGCCAGGUGACUGUGGCCUAGAAAAGGCGAUUUGGCCAUGGGAAUACAGAGUAAGUCAAUAAUUUAUAUUCAGAACAAUGUCUACUCUUUUCGUUACAGAGAAUUCCAGGAAAACUCAGAUGAGGUAGAUUCAUAAGGCAGAAAAAUCCCUUCUUGGGAGUUCCCGUCAUGGAUCAGCAGUUAACGAACCUGACUAGUAUCCAUGAGGUUUGAUCCUUGGCCUCACUCAGUGGAUUAAAGAUCCAGCAUUGCCAUGAGCUGUGGUGCAGCUCUCACACGUAGCUGGGAUCUGGCAUAGCUGUGGUGUAGGCCAGCGGCUAUAGCUCUAAUUUGACCCCUAGCCUGGGAACGUCC
rnacentral:lncRNA from 1 species